rnacentral:rRNA from 1 species
GCACAGUCCGUGGCAGGAGCCUGGGUAAGACGGUGGGUGCAAGCGCUACCCGGAAUGACUGGGCGUAAAGGGCGUGUAGGCGGUUACCUAGGUCCGAUUUUAAAGACCGAAGCUCAACUUCGGGAGUGGAUUGGAUACUGAGUGACUUGACCUCUGGAGAGGAAACCGGAAUUCCUGGUGUAGCGGUGGAAUGCGUAGAUACCAGGAGGAACACCAAUGGCGAAGGCAGGUUUCUGGACAGAAGGUGACGCUGAGGCGCGAAAGUGUGGGGAGCGAACCGGACUAGAUACCCGUGUAGUC